rnacentral:rRNA from 1 species
CCUACGGGUGGCAGCAGUCGAGAAUCAUUCACAAUGGGGGAAACCCUGAUGGUGCGACGCCGCGUGGGGGAAUGAAGGUCUUCGGAUUGUAAACCCCUGUCAUGUGGGAGCAAAUUAAAAAGAUCGUACCACACUAGGAAGAGACGGCUAACUCUGUGCCAGCAGCCGCGGUAAUACAGAGGUCUCAAGCGUUGUUCGGAAUCACUGGGCGUAAAGCGUGCGUAGGCUGUUUCGUAAGUCGUGUGUGAAAGGCGCGGGCUCAACCCGCGGACGGCACAUGAUACUGCGAGACUAGAGUAAUGGAGGGGGAACCGGAAUUCUCGGUGUAGCAGUGAAAUGCGUAGAUAUCGAGAGGAACACUCGUGGCGAAGGCGGGUUCCUGGACAGUAACUGACGCUGAGGCACGAAGGCCAGGGGAGCGAAAGGGAUUAGAUACCCUUGUAGUC